AACGAACGCUGGCGGCAGGCUUAACACAUGCAAGUCGAACGCAUCGCAAGAUGAGUGGCAGACGGGUGAGUAACGCGUGGGAACAUACCCUUUUCUACGGAAUAGCUCUGGGAAACUGGAAUUAAUACCGUAUACGCCCUACGGGGGAAAGAUUUAUCGGGGAAGGAUUGGCCCGCGUUGGAUUAGCUAGUUGGUGAGGUAAUGGCUCACCAAGGCGACGAUCCUUAGCUGGUCUGAGAGGAUGAUCAGCCACACUGGGACUGAGACACGGCCCAGACUCCUACGGGAGGCAGCAGUGGGGAAUAUUGGACAACGGGGGAAACCCUGAUCCAGCCAUGCCGCGUGAGUGAUGAAGGCCUUAGGGUUGUAAAGCUCUUUCGCCAGGGAAGAUAAUGACGGUACCUGGAAAAGAAGCCUCGGCUAACUCCGUGCCAGCAGCCGCAGUAAGAC
rnacentral:rRNA from 1 species